ensembl:lncRNA
UUUUUAUUUAAUGAGACACAGUUAAAAGAACUUAGGCAACCAGUCAGCAUCCAGACCUGGAACAAAAUGUUUACAUAGUGGUUUUUGUGUAUGUUUGUUUCUUAUUAGAAACUGGUGGAUUAUUAUAGAUCAGUCUAAUAGUAAUAUUCUAUACUGACCACUAGAGCAUGCGCAUGGCACAAAACUGGUACAGCUCCAGCUUCCCUGCAUGCGAGUACUCACAAGACAGCUGAACAACAGACAAAGAACUGCAUGCAUCCUUUCCAACAUCCGAUCACAUUAUGGGCGGUAAGGAGUUUGAGGCAUAGAUAAACCAUUCAAAAAUGCAGCCCCCUCUCGCUUCCCCUGUGUCGCAGUGAUGGUGGACUAUGGGCAUUUUCACGAAUGCGGCUCUACUCUGGCACUUGGAGCAGCGUGACCGCGCGUCCCACUGACUCACGGAUCUGAGCAGAUGUCUGGUCCAGUACCGACACCGGGCCACCUCCUCUGCAAAUACAAAUGGCUGGUCGUGUAGAGGGAACGAGGAGAGAUGUGCACAGAUUGAGCAUCCUGAGAGAGAGAAGGAUAAGAUGCUCAUGCACACAUGCGUCUGGAGCGAUGCGGAGCACUAAACUCUCAUCUUUAGCAAUAUGCCUACUUUUGUUCCAAAGCGCGCAUGCUUACAACGGCGCAUCCUUACACCGUAGAUACACCAGAGGGAUGGACAGAGGAGAACUCAGGAGGAGGUUCAGGUGGAGGAAGGACACCCAGAAGGAGGAUGGCCAACAGAGCCCAGGGUGGAGACCAUGGAGGGAGAAGCCAGGGAGGAGACAGGAGGAGCCAGGGUCGGACCAGACGGAGGGAGGAGCAAGGGAGGAGACAGGAGAAGCCAGGGUGGACCAGAUGGAGGAAGGAGACAGGAGGAACUUGGAUCAGGUGGAGCCAGGCGGGACCCAGGCCACAGCCAUGAAGGCAACCCAUGGUGGAGCCAACUGAGGGAUGAGCUAUGGUAGAGGAAGGGCUGACGACUCCAGGCAGGCAACCAAUGGCACUGGAGCAGGUGGAGGAGGAGCCCGAGGCAGAGACAGAGGGCCGACGAGCCAGGGCGAUGGGAGGGCCAAGGUGGAGCAGAUGGCUCAGGCGACCAAGGUGGAGGUGGGGAUUUGGAAGGCUGUGGUGGAGCCAGAGCACAGAGGACCGAGGAGGAGCCGAAUGGAAGGAGGAGCCUGACAGAGCCAGAGGGAAGGAGGAAUGAGGCACAGCCAGAGGAGUGGAGUCCCAAGGCGACGGAAGGUCGAAGACAGACCAAGGCGGAACCGGAGGGACAUGGGAGCCCGGCGGAGGCAGUUGACUGCCUGGCCACAGCGUAGAGGAGGGAGAUAGGAGCCAUGGUGGAGCCGCUUGGUCGACGGGCUGAGGCAGAGUCUUGGACUCAGAGGCUGGAGGUGGAGGCAAGGGAUUCUCCAUCCACGCAAAUGAGGGAGACUGACAAAACCGCUGUGCUCCCACUAAACAGAUCGUGGGAUGAGGGUGAGCAGAGGGGCUGCCAGACGACAACAGUGGAAGAGUCAGGUGAAUUUAUUUAUGUCCGUAUUUAUGUAUUUCACAAUUGUGAUGUAUCAAAUACUGUUUUUGACUCCAAACCCCUAGACUGUUUUUAGGUAAGCAUGCAAUAUCAGCACUUUGAUUUUAUUAGCAAUGUUUGAAACGGUGAACAUGACAUUAGACUUAACAACGAAUAAUAUUUAUACUGUGGUGGGUAGGGCUUUUUGUUAUUUACUGUUGUGACAAAUGUAAAAAAUUAACAAUGAUG